rnacentral:rRNA from 1 species
ACCGGCUAACUCCGUGCCAGCAGCCGCGGUAAUACGGAGGGUGCUAGCGUUAAUCGGAAUUACUGGGCGUAAAGAGCACUUAGGUGGUUUAUUAAGUCAAGUGUGAAAUCCCUAGACUUAAUCUAGGAACUGCAUUUGAAACUAAUAGACUAGAGUUUCGUAGAGGGAGGUAGAAUUCUAGGUGUAGCGGUGAAAUGCAUAGAUAUCUAGAGGAAUAUCAGUGGCGAAGGCGACCUCCUGGACGAUAACUGACGCUAAAAUGCGAAAGCAUGGGUAGCAAACAGGAUUAGAUACCCUGGUAGUCCAUGCUGUAAACGAUGUCGACUAAGAAGUUGAAAGCUUUGACUUAUAAUUUCUGUAGCUAACGCGUUAAGUCGACCGCCUGGGGAGUACGGCCGCAAGGCUAAAACUCAAAUGAAUUGACGGGGGCCUGCACAAGCGGUGGAGCAUGUGGUUUAAUUCGAUGCAACGCGUAAAACCUUACCUGGUCUUGACAUCCACAGAAUUUUAUAGAAAUAUAAAAGUGCAAUUUGAACUGUGAGACAGGUGCUGCAUGGCUGUCGUCAGCUCGUGUUGUGAAAUGUUGGGUUAAGUCCCGCAACGAGCGCAACCCUUGUUUUUUGUUACCAUCAGAUAAAGCUGGGGACUCAAAAGAAACUGCCAGUUAUAAACUGGAGGAAGGUGGGGACGACGUCAAGUCAUCAUGGCCCUUACGACCAGGGCUACACACGUGCUACAAUGGCGUAUACAAAGAGAUGCAAUAUUGUAAAAUAAAGCUAAUCUAUAAAAUACGUCUUAGUUCGGACUGGAGUCUGCAACUCGACUCCACGAAGUCGGAAUCGCUAGUAAUCGUGGAUCAGCAUGCCACGGUGAAUAUGUUUCCAGGCCUUGUACACACCGCCCGUCACACCAUGGAAGUGGGUUGCAAAAGAAGUAGAUUAAUUUAACCUUCUUAACAAGAAAAUAGUUUACCACUUUGUGAUUCAUGA